UUCAAAUGCUCGGUCGGCCAGAGAGCACAAGCUCUUACCCUCCAGGAAACCCCAGCCAUAGGCACUGUGAGGAGCAGGAUUUGCACUUGGCUAUUGUGAUGGUGGUAGUAGCGGCGGGAAGCUCUGUGGAGGCCUCGUUCUACAUAGAAAUGCUCCAGCGCACAGCAUUUAAUUGGAUCCCGUGAAGGACUUCUAUAAGCUAUGGGCUGUGCCUCCUUUGCAUUGUGUUCCUUCUCUGGCCCAAGCUCUGUGGCAGUUGUUUUAGGCCCUCUGCUAAUUACAGAUAAUAAAGACUUUUCUUCAAUUGAAAUAGAAAAGAAACCCUGUGAGCUACACCCCUGCUGUUCCUGGCCAUACAACUCUGAGGAGAAAGGCCCUAUAAGUGGCUGUAGGUUAGUUACGUGCCCUAGGCCUCGGUGCCAAAUCACGCCUCUGAGAAACAGUGCACACACUGUGGUGUGGUCCUGACUCAGAGGGCACCUGGCCACUUGUUCCUAAAAAUCAAAUAAACAUUGUAUGGCUUAUAAACAUAUGGGGGUUGUACAGGAGAGUAGGGAAUGGUCUUCCUAGGAUGAUGGUUGCAUUCCUUAGCUGUAGUCAGUUCAGGCAUUACUUCAAAGAACCAGUUUUCUCUUUGGUGCAAAGUCACUGAACACCUCUAGACUUGUUUCUAAUUUUGGCUAAAGCUGGAUGUAACCCACUCCCAGCCUCACAAUAGGUCAAAAUUCAAGCCUGAUGUUUCUGUACAAGAUUGUUGUCUCUUCUCAGCCUUGACUUAUUAGCCUGUGUAAAAAAAAAAAACAAAACAAAACAAAAAAACAAACAAACAUUAGAACUUAUCAUUUAUAUUUGCCAAAGAUUACUUGGCUUCUCAGGAGACACCAGAGGAAAUUAAAUAUAUCAAACUUUUUAAAAA